CAGUUGACAGUCAUAACACCAAAUUCCAUACGAAACUAUUUUCUAAUUUUAGAAACUAAAUCAAUUUAGGGUUCUUCUUCCUCUUUCUAUCCGACUCAAAUCUUCUUUUGAAAAUUCCUUACGGAAAAAGAGGAGAUAGAGAAGAAGAAUGGAGGUAAUCAGUUAUGUGAGACAAUGGGGAGGCGUGGGAUUUAUCAGAAGAAAAGCCCUCAGAAAUUGAAGGAAGAAGCUUAUAAUUUCAGUGUUUUCUGCUGAGGAUGGCUGUUGCUAUGCUUGUCAAGAGACAUGCUGAUGGAUUGCUACCUACUGAUGACUACAACAUUGAGCUUGAGGAUCAAAUAGGGCAGAAGCUUAAUAUGGGUUCUGACAGAUCAAAGGGAAGCAGCUAAUGAGAGCACAGCAAUACAAAGAGGCAUUAGAGGCGCUUGAAAUGGGAGAGAAAGCCUUUUCUCUCUGUGACUCUAAACUCAUAGAGUUUAAUAUGUGCAUGCUUAUUCAAUGGUUUAUAUUCACAGUGUAUUGACAUUGUUCCAAUCCUUCAAAUUGACAUGGUGUGGACGUGUGUGCUAUUUUAUGCUUCGGGACAUCAACUUGCUCACGUUGGCUGGUGAGCAUAUUGCAAAAGCUAGAGUAGGUAUUGAGCAUAUUGCAAAAGCUAGAGUAGGUAUUGAGCAUAUUGCAAAAGCUAGAGUAGGUAUUGAGAUCUUCAGAGUAGUCGUAGCCCAAAGACUGCAUUGUAGGUUACAUCCUUCUGUUUUCAUAUUUUGUAGUUUGUCUGGAGAUGGGAAAGAAUGACUGCUGCAUAAUUCUAUUUUUGUUUGGUUCCUCCUAGAUAUUUGAGGUUAGAUCUCUUGAAAGGUGUGGCAGCUUUUCACUGUGGCAAAUUGGAUGAAUCCAGAGAAGCUUUGACAUCUGCCAAGGCAAGAUAUAUUGCAAGGUAUGGAACAAUCAGUUCUAUAUUGUGUUCUUUAAGAUUAUCAUGAGUGGCUCACCUCCUUUAAGAGAGGGAUUUUAAAGUGAUGUUCAAGUGGUCAUUGCUGCCAGAAAAGUGAGCAUUCCUCUCUUUAUAUCCAUCAUGGUUUCUCCAGGUUUAUAUUCAAAAUAUGUAUCAUUUAAACUCCAAGUUUACAACAUAAUUGGUGAGUCCUUGUGAUAAGUAUUACAGAAAUGGUAAAUAAUUAAGCUAAAACUCGUAACAGCCUUCUAAUUUCUAGCUUUUAGAAUGUGAAUAAUCUCCAUCAUGGUUUCUCUAGGAUGUCAUUCAGUAAUAUAUAUAAAGUUCCAAGUCUACAACAUAAUUGGCUAGUCCUUGUGAUAAUCGUUACAAUAUUGUAGGCGUUGGUUUGGAUAAUCAAGCUAAAACAUAAAAAUUUGAGAAACAUGAGCUUGAGCUCGCUUUCUAAUCCCCAGACCCCAGCUCUUAGAAUAUAAUGCAGACACCUAAUAACUUUUUAAAUUUAAUCUCGGUAUUGGAGAUUGGUAUGAGUAACGCGUUUGCUCUUAGUUAUAGUCUGCGGGGAAUGCUCUUAGUUACAAUCUUGGUAUUGGAGAUUGGUAUGAGUAACGCGUUUUUCUUAGUUACAGUCUGCAGGAAAAGCUCUUAGUUACAAUCUUGGCAUUGGAGAUUGGUAUGAGUAACGCGUUUGCUCUUAGUUACAGUCUGCGGGAAAUGGGGCCUUUCAAGCAGGAAAGCAUACAGAAGCAGUUGAACAUUAAACUGCAGUUUUGUCAUUUAAUGUUGAGUCCUGUCCUUUUAGUGCAGUAUGUUUUUGCUGAUCGAGCUGCAACUUACCCAACAUUGGGGAUGUUCACUGAUGCAAUUGCAGAAUGCAGUUCAGCAAUAGCUUUGUAUGAACAAUACUUUGAAGGCAAUAUCUACAAGAGCCAUCUUUUUGAGAUGAUUAGAGACUAUGAGCAGGAAGUGAAAGAUCUUGAGAGACUUGUGUCUCUUGUAAGUCCACUCAACUAGGAGCAUAUUUGCCAUUGGGCCUGUAGCUGAUCUAAGACAAGCUCGACAAUGGCUCUAUCAGUUGGAGGAACAGGCUAAAAAGGAAUACCUUUAAAGUUGUACCUCAUCUUGGAGUAGAGCCAUCUGUUACAGCAAUAAAUCUGAAGAAAGCUUAUUGUAAAAUGUAAUCCUGCUCUGAGGCAUCAUCCUGAUAAGCCUGGUCGAUCAGUCAUUGCAAGAGCCGAAAGCGGAGAUGAUGUCCUCUGGAAGGAAUAAGCGGAGGGGGACUACAAGGAUGCUGAAGUGAUAAGCUUUUCAAGAUGAUUGGCGAGGCAUAUGCAGUUUUUUCACACCCGGAUCAAUUUAUGAUAUGUUAUCUCAAGCUGAUACUAAGAUCUAUAUUAGCAUUUUCACUUGUCAGCUGAUACUGAAAAUGAUAUUGCUUUUAUUAUUACCAGUUUUUGGUGUGUGUUUGUUUUGGGAA